rnacentral:rRNA from 1 species
UACGUAGGGUGCAAGCGUUGUCCGGAAUCAUUGGGCGUAAAGAGCUCGUAGGCGGUUUGUCGCGUCUGCUGUGAAAACUCGGGGCUUAACCCCGGGCCUGCAGUGGGUACGGGCAGACUAGAGUGCGGUAGGGGAGACUGGAAUUCCUGGUGUAGCGGUGAAAUGCGCAGAUAUCAGGAGGAACACCGGUGGCGAAGGCGGGUCUCUGGGCCGUAACUGACGCUGAGGAGCGAAAGCGUGGGGAGCGAACAGG